rnacentral:ribozyme from 1 species
GAAUGGACAGCAAAAUUCUUUAUACUGAUAUUCGUCUUGGCAACUAUGUCAAACAUAUUGCCUUUGUAUGGUUGGCAAAAAAGAAAUGCAAAAAAAAAAAAAAACAAUUGUUGGUAUUGUGUUCUACUGCACAGCUGC